CGGCGCGAUGGACGAGGCGUUGGAGGCCAUCUUCCCUGAAACGGCACAUCAUGGUGACUCCCAAUCCAAUCCCGAAAUGCAGGGAAGACCGACGUCGCGUGGCGCCAUUGAUGAUGCAAUCCGGAAUUGCCGGUAAUGAUUUUACUACCAGUUACAUCACCCAGGCCUCCUGUAUUGCCAACAAAUGCAGGGAUGGAAACUAUGGCAAGGUCUUCGGUCUCCUUUAGCCACUGAUAGCAGGAUCGACGGUAUUGUCGAUGCGUGGAACUUGUGGAUGGAGAUGAUGACAAAGGAAAUUAAGGCAAGCGAUCACGAUAAAGUUAAAAGCUGUACCACGAGAUGUGCAGAAGGAGAUUCACCGAUACCACAGUGAGCUGCAAUACCAUGAUUGAUUUCGUGAUUGUGAAUGCAUGGGCGGGUGGGAGACGAAGUUCAUGUGUUUGAGGAAGCGCCCAAAAGGAAGGAAUCAAGCAUGAUGUUAUCCCCUGUAACGGACUGAUGUUUUCCGAAAGGAGGACAGGAUAGCCAAAGACAUGAAGCUCCUAUGAGAAGAUGCAAUUGAUGGAUCACCCAGCAGCCUAUUGUUUCAACACAUACACACACCAUUGAUCUGGGAAAUUUGUGAACAGUUCUGAAUGCCAUUCUUAAUGUUGGUUGCUCCCUAGAAAUUUGAUCCUGCUAUUUGCUUGUCAGUCAACUAUGCCAAGAGAAUUGGAGGCAUGCUGCAUUGCAGCUAGAGGAAAUAGUGGGGAGCAAAUAGUCAAUGCCUCAGGGACCUUGCUGCUGCUAUUGUGGCUGAUGCUAUCUCUGCAUCCAUUAUAUCACUGAAGGAUGAAGUCUGAAGCAGUUGGUCAUAUCCAUUAUAUUAUUCAUCUCCCUGGAAACCAUUCAGGGAGCUGUUCUGCUGGACCCAUGUUUCUUGGGCUUAUUAUCCAGGCGCUCAGACAGUCUGCAACCGGUGAGCUGGUUCAUUCAUUUCUUUGCCAUUUUGGGCUCCGAUCGACGCAGGCGAUGGACACCUCAUGAAUUCGAGCAGAAGGUGCUGCUGCUGCUACUGCUUGAACAUGAGCCAUGUGAAGCGGACGGAACUCCCAACAAUUCCAUCAAUAUAAUACCGCUACCCAAAGAUUAAUAGUCUUGCAAUGAUGUGGUUGUCUCUUCCUAUUCACUGAUAGCUCUGUUCUACUUGUAUCCUCUGUAUACAUGUCUAACAACACCUCCACGUUCAUCUCUUACCGGAUAUGAAUUCUCUUGCUUCGGCAGGUGCAGGAUGAUCUCUACUACAGUUUAA